AUGCUUAACUGACGGAGCCACCCAGGCGCCCCUGCGUUGAUUAGUUUUUUAAAGAAACAGACAUACUGUUCCAGGACAGCAUUUUACAUACACGAUUUCACUGAAUGCUCAUGAUAAUCCUAGGAGGGAGAACAAUGAUAUUCCUUUCUCAAGAGAUAAGAAAAUGAAGGUAAUUGGCCAGUUUCAUAAAGCCAACCAGGUCCCCAAAUCCAUGCUUUGGAGUCCUGUGCCAUAUUGGCUUUUCUCCGGAAGGGCGGCAGGCUACCUCGCUCUGGUGGGUGAAGGGCCCCGCCUUAGGUUGGGGGGAAAAGAACUUCCUGAAUAAGCGGCAUCCUACUUGUAGGUGGUCACCAAGGUCAGCUGUCUGUGACUAGCUUCAACCCAGUCCAUCACAGGCUCGGAUCUUCUGCAGCGACGCUGUAACAUGUUUCUCCGGGUUCUAUAUCCCAGGACGCGAUGACCUCAUAAACUCAUAAUCAAGUUUCGUGAUUACAAAACCACUCAAGAAGAACGUGGUUGCUAUGCACUCCUCUGAAGUAAUGACCGAAUAUGGGAGAUCAUUUAAAUCCGGUUGAGAUCACUCCAAUUUCAUUAUCCAAGGUCUCUUCGUGGUUCCGGGCGUGAGAUAGAGAGUUGGCGCAUAAUCUAACAUCUUACAGAAUCUCAGAGAUAAUCUAACCGUGAGAAGCCUUCCCUAUGUAUCUCGUCAAAGAUCUGGCAGUUCAUUAAACUAGCUGGUAAGUGAUGGGUUGUCAAGGCACGCCUAGAUACGUCAUCCCGUCAAUAGACCCCAAACUUCCCCUGCAUUGUAGCCACUAGACACGAAAACCCAGGGCAGAGAAGAGAGGGAAGGGAUAAGAUCAGGAGCUCAUGCUUUGAUGGACCUUCUCUGCUCCAAACAUACAGCAGCGACACAUAAACUAUUGAAACAGAAAACCCCAAAUGCCUGGAUAUACUCAAAGGUUAGUCAAGUGAAGCAGUGGAGAAGGAACAAAGAAAUCUGUAACUGGCUAUGAUCAAUUAGUUGUAAAUUAAUCUCUUAUUUAACAUUUUGAUUGCACCCAAAAAGAU